AAGUCGUAACAAGGUUUCCGUAGGUGAACCUGCGGAAGGAUCAUUAAAUAAUCAAUAAUUUUGGCUCGUCCAUUAUUAUCUAUUUACUGUGAACUGUAUUAUUACUUGACGCUUGAGGGAUGCUCCACUGCUAUAAGGAUAGGCGGUAGAGAUGUUAACCGAGUCAUAGUCAAGCUUAGGCUUGGUAUCCUAUUUAUUAUUUACCAAAAGAAUUCAGAAUUAAUAUUGUAACAUAGACCUAAAAAAUCUAUAAAACAACUUUUAACAACGGAUCUCUUGGUUCUC
rnacentral:misc_RNA from 1 species